AGAAACAAUCCUGUGAGCAGAUAGGACAGGCAGAGAGAGGUAAGGGGGCACUGAACAGCACAGGAAUGUGGACAUAAAGAAGCUGAAGGGCCCUCACAACACCCUGGCAUCAGUCUUAUAGGUAAGACUAAAGAACAAAGUUAUGCAUUUUUGGGCCAAAGAGAGGACAAAAGGAACUUAGGAGUACCAAAAACCUGAAAUUAACUCUGGAGAACUUGUCUCUCAUUUCCCAUUUGAGCUGCAGCUCCCUGGAAUAAAAGCCAGCCUGGUGAUGGAGGCACAAGGCUCAGAGUCAGCUCUGGAUCCUGGCUCUGCCAGAUACUGGCAGUGUCACCUUCAAGCAUCACAAGCCAGGGGACGUGAGCAUAGAACAAGCAGCUCCUCCGCACAUCCCUGAAUGCUCUGACAGCUUUCCAAGGAUUUCCUCUCCGGGUGGAACAGGGAGCACCAAGCAGAGGCACAGCUUCAAACCACCCACCUCCAGGAGCAGACACAUCUGGAAAAGCU